rnacentral:rRNA from 1 species
CUAGAUUGAUCCGCGGCCGCAGAGUUUGAUCCUGGCUCAGAUUGAACGCUAGCGGGUAUGCCUUACACAUGCAAGUCGAACGGCAGCGGGAAGAAAGCUUGCUUUCUUUGCCGGCGAGUGGCGAACGGGUGAGUAAUGUAUCGGAACGUGCCCAGUAGCGGGGGAUAACUGGCCGAAAGGUCAGCUAAUACCGCAUACGCCCUACGGGGGAAAGGGGGGGAUUCUUCGGAACCUCUCACUAUUGGAGCGGCCGAUAUCGGAUUAGCUAGUUGGUGGGGUAAUGGCCUACCAAGGCAACGAUCCGUAGCUGGUUUGAGAGGACGACCAGCCACACUGGGACUGAGACACGGCCCAGACUCCUACGGGAGGCAGCAGUGGGGAAUUUUGGACAAUGGGGGAAACCCUGAUCCAGCCAUCCCGCGUGUGCGAUGAAGGCCUUCGGGUUGUAAAGCACUUUUGUCAGGGAAGAAAAGGUUUUGGCUAAUACCCGGAACCGAUGACGGUACCUGAAGAAUAAGCACCGGCUAACUACGUGCCAGCAGCCGCGGUAAUACGUAGGGUGCAAGCGUUAAUCGGAAUUACUGGGCGUAAAGCGUGCGCAGGCGGUUCGGGAAG